AGAGUUUGAUCAUGGCUCAGAUUGAACGCUGGCGGCAGGCCUAACACAUGCAAGUCGAACGGUAACAGGAAGCAGCUUGCUGCUUCGCUGACGAGUGGCGGACGGGUGAGUAAUGUCUGGGAAACUGCCUGAUGGAGGGGGAUAACUACUGGAAACGGUAGCUAAUACCGCAUAACGUCGCAAGACCAAAGAGGGGGACCUUCGGGCCUCUUGCCAUCGGAUGUGCCCAGAUGGGAUUAGCUAGUAGGUGGGGUAACGGCUCACCUAGGCGACGAUCCCUAGCUGGUCUGAGAGGAUGACCAGCCACACUGGAACUGAGACACGGUCCAGACUCCUACGGGAGGCAGCAGUGGGGAAUAUUGCACAAUGGGCGCAAGCCUGAUGCAGCGACGCCGCGUGCGGGAUGACGGCCUUCGGGUUGUAAACCGCUUUUGAUCGGGAGCAAGCCUUCGGGUGAGUGUACCUUUCGAAUAAGCACCGGCUAACUACGUGCCAGCAGCCGCGGUAAUACGUAGGGUGCAAGCGUUAUCCGGAAUUAUUGGGCGUAAAGGGCUCGUAGGCGGUUCGUCGCGUCCGGUGUGAAAGUCCAUCGCUUAACGGUGGAUCUGCGCCGGGUACGGGCGGGCUGGAGUGCGGUAGGGGAGACUGGAAUUCCCGGUGUAACGGUGGAAUGUGUAGAUAUCGGGAAGAACACCAAUGGCGAAGGCAGGUCUCUGGGCCGUUACUGACGCUGAGGAGCGAAAGCGUGGGGAGCGAACAGGAUUAGAUACCCUGGUAGUCCACGCCGUAAACGGUGGAUGCUGGAUGUGGGGCCCGUUCCACGGGUUCCGUGUCGGAGCUAACGCGUUAAGCAUCCCGCCUGGGGAGUACGGCCGCAAGGCUAAAACUCAAAGAAAUUGACGGGGGCCCGCACAAGCGGCGGAGCAUGCGGAUUAAUUCGAUGCAACGCGAAGAACCUUACCUGGGCUUGACAUGUUCCCGACAGCCGUAGAGAUAUGGCCUCCCUUCGGGGCGGGUUCACAGGUGGUGCAUGGUCGUCGUCAGCUCGUGUCGUGAGAUGUUGGGUUAAGUCCCGCAACGAGCGCAACCCUCGCCCUGUGUUGCCAGCACGUCAUGGUGGGAACUCACGGGGGACCGCCGGGGUCAACUCGGAGGAAGGUGGGGAUGACGUCAGAUCAUCAUGCCCCUUACGUCCAGGGCUUCACGCAUGCUACAAUGGCCGGUACAACGGGAUGCGACACGGCGACGUGGAGCGGAUCCCUGAAAACCGGUCUCAGUUCGGAUUGGAGUCUGCAACCCGACUCCAUGAAGGCGGAGUCGCUAGUAAUCGCGGAUCAGCAACGCCGCGGUGAAUGCGUUCCCGGGCCUUGUACACACCGCCCGUCAAGUCAUGAAAGUGGGUAGCACCCGAAGCCGGUGGCCUAACCCUUUGUGGAUGGAGCCGUCUAAGGUGAGACUCGUGAUUGGGACUAAGUCGUAACAAGGUAGCCGUACCGGAAGGUGCGGCUG
rnacentral:rRNA from 1 species